AUGUUUUUCUCCUUCUUACAGGAAUUAGAAUUGAGGAAAGAAUGGUUAGGUUCGGUGCCAAAACUGCAAAUUUGGACUUGUUCCACCCAAGCUGGCAGACUUUAUCAAAAUCGGCCGAUCACGCCUUCUCACUAAAAGAACUUCGCACUGAUGACCGCCGACUCCACCAGCGCCCCGGUCCCCUCAACUUACCCGUGGAACGGACCCUACCCGACCCCCUCAGCGAACGCAGAUAUUCCACCCACCUUGCUGAGCUCGAGCAUCUUCGCCGAUCCACGAUCCACCACCCGGAUGUCUCCCGGGUGGAACCAAACGGAUUUCAUCCACCCUCAGUUGUAGAACGGCUAUUAGGUGAUGGUUCUGCCCCUGCCAGAGGCAACUCCGUGGUCGUCUUCCUGGACAGGAAGAACCCAAAAGGAAACAGCUUGCAGUUGGGUUCCUUGACCGAUCGCAUGGAUCGUCCUCGACUCUUGGCACCGUCUCAUGAUCUACUUAAAGCUCAUCACCUAGCGACCAUUGACCAAAAUGUCAGCCGCACAAGGUUAAAACCAAUUCCACAAGAACUACCACCUGUUUCGCAACACAGCAUGACCGGUUCCGACAGAUGUAGUUUACCUGUCAUCCCUGAAACCCAGCAUCUUGACUAUCCAUCUCUCGACUCACGGUACCCGGUUGACCAACGACUACCAACUCUCGACUCGCGGUUACCCGUCAUGCUUCCAUCCUACCAAGGAAUCACAGACGUUCGGAUUCCGAACCCUCGUCUUGCAGAUCCCCGCUACCCUCCAGUUACCACUCAUUUGUUCCCCCCCACUCACAACAUGGCCUACCCAUCGAACAGUUCAAAUUUGUCCAUUCUUGAAGAGAGCCGUGCCAUUUCCACGCUGGCACUGCCCCCUACACACACUAACUAUCCAAUCAUUUCCCAUCGAGAGCUCUUUAAUUCCAUGGCCCCAACGAACACCAUAGCGUCCCCUUACCUCAGUAGCACGUCAUUUCUUUAUCCCCACCUCUACAGUUCCGCGCCACAGUACCAGAGCAGUUUCUACAUGCCGUCAAGCGAUGUACGAAAUUUUGACCUCUUAAGCCAAAGACCAGAAGUUCCGACCAGGAUUGAACGACCGGCUUUAUUAGCAUCGCCGGGUCGUCAACCGGCCGACACUGCUCCAUUAGUUGCUAAUAAAACGUUGAACAAGGAAGACAACUCAAAUGACAUCGAAAUGCGAAUCAGCCAACCAGAACAGUCUACCGAUGUGUUGAUGCGUGAAGAUCUUCGUGGUAGUACAUCGGAACAUGUCAGUCCACCCCCAGCACGACCAUCACAGAGUACCGACUCUUCUGACAAUGCAAUAUCAGUUUGGAGGCCUUACUAAACUAUUUGGUAAUUCUUACAAAUCUAAAAGUAUAUGUAAAGAGGCCUUAUAUAGAUAUAUGUGUGUAUGUAUGACUAUACAUAUAUAUAUAUAUAUAUAUAUAUAUAUAUAUAUAUAUAUAUAUAUAUAUAUAUAUAUAUAUAUAUAUACAGAGAUAAAAUAAACAAAAGGUUUUCCUCAUUUAAUCAUUAAUCAACACUCAUGAUUAACAACACUCACUCACUAAAGAUUAUUUCAACAAAAGAAAAAGAAGAAUUAACAAAAAAAAAAAAGAAAAAAAAAACUCACAAAGACCCCAAAAUUGUUUCCUUUCUUGUUGUUGUUGUGAUUUUAAUCCCUGUAAACUGAC
rnacentral:misc_RNA from 1 species